rnacentral:miRNA from 1 species
ACCACCUGGGGAUCUUCUUAAAAUGCAGAUUCUGAUUCCAUAGUUCUGAGGGUACCCAAGAUUCUGCAUUUCUAACAAGGUCCCAGGUUAUGCC